GUCAUUUAUUCUUCCUCUUCCUCCUCCUCUUCCUCUCCAGCCAUCACCUCUACCAGCAGCUCAGCAGUGCAGGUUGCUUCCCCCAGACUGUUCACCGCCUUCACUGUGUAUUUGGCAUCGUCGUCUCCUGAAACCUGCAGUCAAAGCGAGCGGCGCUGCCCUCCACAACCUCCACGUCUUUGAUGACCACACUGAAACUGGGCUUACACUCGGUCUUCUGCUCAUACUCCAAACACUCCAGGAACUGGUUGUCCUCUGCUCACACAGGAAGAGUGCAUGAUCAGCUGCCAUGUUCCAGUCAGUACUAAGUCUGUCACCGCUGCUCUGACCUUCAGUUGGGGACCCUUUCUUGGCACUGACUCCAGCCAUCAUUGCCAUGGAUGACAGUCGACCAAUGGCUCGGACAGCAUGACCAGUUUUCUGGAAGAAGAAAUGGUUCAAACCAUCAGUGGUGGAAUGGGAAGUAUUUACAGUUUACAUGGUUCUUUUCCACAUAUUGUGCUAUUAUAGUCAGCGAGAGAGUGGCUGUGUCUUCAUUUCUAACAAUGUCAAACCAAUGAGUAAUUAUUUAGCUGCUAACAGGUCACAUAGAAGAGUUACAUCUAUCUCUCUCACCAUUGACUUAAUUAACAAGCUUAGAGUAGCAGCAACAGUCAUGGGGCAGUUCACUGUGCACCAAAAGGUUUUAAAUGCUUCUGCUCUAUCAAAGCAUGUGUGUACUAGUUGUGUUACUGUACUACCUGCCAUUUCCUUCUCAGGAUGUACUUCUUCAUCCUCUCCUUAGAGAGCUUCUUGGCCUUCAUGGUGUUGGUGUCUUGUUUCAGCCAGGGGUGUUCGAAACACUGAGCACAGCAGUUUGGUGAUAAAAUCUUUGGCAGUGUCUGAGAUUUCAUCAAAGGCCUCAUCUUCAAAGUCCCAGGUGGCCGAGGUGACAUUGGACAGAGUCUCGUUGUCAUUGUCGCCCAUAAAAGGAGAGAGACCACUGAGCCUGACAGAACGAACAUGGGCAGAACUGAAUCCACACUGAAGCUUCCACAGGGUUUGAGGUCAAGAUGGACAAUGCCCUGUUUGUGAAUGAAGCUGACUCCAUCAAUGAUCUGCAGCAUGUAUUUUAUCACCUCCCGCUCUGUCAGCUCAAAGUCCUCAUCGAUGAUCCGCUCAAACAGCUCACCACCCGAGAUCCUGUACAGAAAUGAGGAAGAGAUCCAGUCACCUGCGUAGUCACCAGAUGUUCUCUACAACAUGAGCAUUAAAUCUGGAACUGGCCAUACAGACAAACAGGUGUUUUGUCUCAUCUGAGUAGAGUCUACGUACAUUUCCAGGACCAUGACAAUGUCAGAUUUUCCCUCAAAUGCAUCGAUGCAUUGCACCAGCUUAGGGUGAUGGAGGCUGUUCAUGAUGCCAAUCUCCUGCCGGACAUUGUCCUUUUCCUUGGCUGAAUACGCCUUGAUGAACUUUCCGGCCCAGACCUUCUUGGUGGCUCUCUCCACCAGUUUGAAAACCUGUCCAAACUUUCCCCUGAGAAGGUGUUAACAGAGAAAGCAGAAGGACACAACAGUUCUGCAGUAAGUACCACCACAAUCUGUGUUAAUUCACCAUGUUCUCCCUCCUCUUAAUCUCUUGUUGCCCCACAGCCUUGGUCAAAUCGUGUCUUUUCUCUGCUUCUCACUCAUCACUGGAAUUGUUCCCACACCCCUUGAAACGCCAACAAUCAUCCCAAAACCUAAAACCUUUUAGAUUCCAGCAACUACAAUAACCAUUAAUUUCCCCCUUCACUCAAAAUUGCCAGUUGUCGGUCUGGUUCUUCUCCGCCACAGUUCUGAAAUUGCCCUGCUAGAAAUCACCAAUGACCUCCUGAAGGCAGAUGACUCUGUGUUACGCUCCAUUUGUAUCGUCCUUGAUCAAUAGAUUCUCUUACAUCAUUCUUCUCAACAGACUCUCCUCUGUUGUGACUCACCCCCCUAGAACUGAGGCCCAUUUCAGUUCUUCCAUCUUAAAUCCUAUAAAUCCCAGCCAUGAUGAGGACUUAAUUCCUCACCUUCUUCCCCUUGGCAAUGUCUUCCGUAUUCAUGUAGCAACUUUAACUGUCUAGAAAGGUGCUUUGAAUGUUAUUAUUAUUAUUAUUAUUAUUAUUAUUAUUAUUAUUAUUAUUAUUAUUAUUAUUAUUAUUAUUAUUAUUAUUAUUAUUAUUAUUAUUAUUAUUAUUAUUAUUAUUAUUAUUAUUAUUGCGGCACGGUGGUGCGGUGGGUAGCACUGUCGCCUCACAGCAAGAAGGUUCUGGGUUCGAUUCCCGGAGGCGGCCCUGGUGCCUUUCUGUGUGGAGUUUGCACGUUCUCCCCGUGUUUGCGUGGGUUCUCUCCGGGUUCUCCGGCUUCCUCCCACAGUCCAAAGACGUGCAUUAGGUUGAUUGGCUUCUCUCCAUUGCCCGUAGGUGUGAGUGUGUGAGUGAAUGGUUGUCUGUCUAUGUGUUGCCCUGCGAUGGACUGGCGACCUGUCCAGGGUGUACCCUGCCUCUCGCCCGUAGCCAGCUGGGAUGGGCUCCAGCACCCCCGUGACCCCGCACUAGGGAGUAAGCGGUUAAGAAAAUGGAUGGAUGGAUGGAUUAUUAUUAUUAUUAUUAUUAUUAUUAUUAUUAUUAUUAUUUAUAUCAAGCUUCAGGCAGAAGUAUUUCAGAAUGAUAUUUCAGGGAAGUUCAGCCACUUGGUUUACUGUGCUCAGCUGGGUAAUGAGCUGUAGUGUACGUACGUUCCCAGCCUCUCCUCCACGUCAUACAGCUCCUUCACCUUGACGUCUGUCCUGACGGUCACGUCUCGGUAAUCGGGCUCCUUCUCCAAGUCUAAAACACAACACAACAUGUCAGGUUUGUUGUCUGGUGCUUGUGCAGCAUUGUGUGGAUGAUGAUGUGAAUAAGCUGAGAUCAGUGAAACUGGAGGUGCUACCAUCAUCUUCCUCUUCGGCCUCGUCCUGGUUCUCUGUCAGAGGAACCAAACAGCAGUCAGUCAGUUCAGUCACUCUGUGAGUUCUGUUUCAUCCACUUUUGUUGAUUUAGCUGAAGAUAAUGUCCUGUUAUCUCACCAUCACUGUCCACUAGUCCAACAGUAACAGGUUCCGAUUCUGCACUCGGCUCUCCAACUCCGUAGAUGUUUUCUGCCCGGAUGCGGAACUUAUACUGACGUUCUGGAAGCAGGUUCUGCCGACAACAUGACACCUGUUAAUCCGAUGCUCUCCAGAGGCACUGGAGAAGGACAUCAGCUGGACAUAACUGUGCACACCUGGACGUUGUAGGAGGUGCUGUUACAGGACACCAGGUGUUUCCACUGCUGCUCCACAGAGUCCCAGAUCUCCAGGUUGUAUGACUGCACAGCGCUGCCUCCAUCGUACGUCGGCCCAUACCAAGACAGAGUCAAACUGGACCGUCGGACAUCUGAGGCUGCAGGAACCUUUGCUGGGGGAUCAGGUUUAUCUGAGGAGGGAAGGUGUGGGGUUAACAACCCUGACCCUUACAGAGCCAUGAGUUACACUACACUAUACCACCUGUGGGUGGUGCUAGCAGAGCCUGGUAGCAGUAGUGCAGAAAGAUGGGCACAGUGUAGACCUUCAUAUGAGCAGCAGCACAUAGAAGCCUCGAAUCCUGUUAAUUACUGCACUGAUUGAAAACUUUCAGAGCUGAUUUGUCAAUUUGCACCAGUGCCAGUGAAAGAACAAAUGGUGACAAUAUUGUGACAAUUCAAUCAGAACUGUGUGAACCUCAUGCACAUCAGUAGCAAUUGUGAUCCUUCUAAAUCAAGCUGAACAGACCCACAACCCAGUCUGAGGAAAAGCUGCAGCAGGAAAUGGGAGCGAUGGUCUGAGCGGACUGAAGAAGAACAGAAACAUCCCAGAGGUCAAACAGUGUGUGUGUGUGUGUGUGUGUGUGUGUGUGUGUGUGUGUGUGUGUGUGUGUGUGUGUGUGUGUGUGUGUGUGUGUGUGUGUGUGUGUGUGUGUGUGUGUUUUGAUAGUUCCACACAGAUGAAUCGCUGCCAUAAAAGGCAAUAAACUGCAGCAGGGAGACUGAACUCAGCCUCAGGAUCAUGAACACGUGUCUCUUAUAAACACAACUAUCUCUCUGUACAACUAAUAGCUGACUUGCCUAUGACUGCCUGUACGUGUCUUACCGACGAUGGUGAGGUUGAGGGCGGCCUGUCUGAGGCCAUAGUUGUUUCUCAGCUCGAUGGUGUAACAGCCACAGUGGUCUUGCUGACCGCUGGCGAUGGUCAGUCUGCUGCUGCCGUCAGUGCUCUCAAUGGAGAUGUCAGCCAAGCCCUCUUGGAUCUGAACAACAACGGAAGAUGUGUUACUUGUCUACACACAGAACCUCCACUGUCCUGUAACACUGCUCACAUCUUUACAGUUCAUUACAGCUUAUCUCGUCCCCAUGAUCAAUAAUCAAACAGCCCUCACUGGUUUCCUAAACUUGAGCCAGGUGCAAGUGAUGGGUUGCGCUCCAGAAAACUUGCAAAGGAUCUCCACCUUCUCCCCUGCCAGGAUCUUCAUGUCCUCUGGGAACUGUAGUAUCUGCGGGGGCAGAGCUGCACACACACCCAUCAACAGUCAGUAACCACUAAUGAAUAUAGUCAGGGCCUGAAGGGACAAAGCAAGAAAACCCAGCUCUCAACCACUAAAGGCUGGAAAAAACAUUUCACCUGAACUGUGUUAUCCCCUCGCUCGCCCGACCGGUCGAGGCAGGCGACCGCCUACACUGAGCCUGGCUCUGCAGGAGCUUUGGUCCUCAUUGGAGAAGAGGUUUUUCCUCCACUGCUGCUGUCAAAUUUCCAGAAUUUUUCCUCAAUGGAAUCACAAAAUAGGAGAAUCACCUUGUUUGGGAGGAGUCUUGGGAGUCGGCUUCUUGAUUCUGGCUUCACCUGCAGGAAACAGAAUUGGCUCAGUCAGAGUGUUAGUGAACACGUGAGGUCAGAUAGAAAUGUGCAGUGCAGAGAGAGGAAUGUGAGACAGAGAAGGUCUCUGAUGACCAAGUAUGGGCAACAAAGGCUUUCAUUUACUGUGAAUUCACUGAGAACUGCAGCAGAAACAUACAGAUGUGACAUAUGUUGGUGAAAACAAAAAGCACCCCCCUUCACUGGAAACACAAACAUUUCGGUUCUACAUGAUCCCGGUUCCAUGAUACAUAUACACAGUCUUUCUGGACCUGAUAACAAAGUCCAUAGAAGAGAAUGACAGACAGCACAAAGAUCCAGAACAGCUAAUGAGAAAGGAACUCUCAGGAAUUACACAGGAACAGAGAGAGACUGAAAAAACUCAGCUCAGAUCACACAACAGUCAUGACAUCACAGGGAGGGGCUUUAUGGUCCGGCCCUCAGACUUCAUUUUAUGAUUAGUUUGAUUUCUGCAUAAGUGUAUAAAUGUCUGGUUCUGACUCAGCUGAAGCUCUGAAACUUGGAUAGGUUUCUGAACCUGCUCACAUGAGUUUCACAUGUGUGGAACCACACAGGAUGCAUAAAAAAAACAAACACAGGUUCUUCUUUUUGAGGAAUUGUGGACUUCCACCUAACUAUUUUUGUUUUAUUUUUGUAUUUUUUUUAUGCUGCUCUUUGGACUCUCUUGCUCUUUGUCUAAUUACAUAUCAAACUUGGCCAAAUCCCAGUUCUAUAUAACAAAUUACUACUGUUGACACCAGUUCUCAGUGUAGACCACGUUUCUACCUGCUAAUAGUAUUUCAUUAAUACAGCCCUAGAUCAGACCUGAACCAGUGUUUAAAGAACCAGGACUAAACCAAAGGAAGGAAAAAAAACACUAUCACAGACCAAAUAACACAUUGUUGGAGCCGCUCUACAUGCAGCUGGAUGUUGAUCUGCUGCAGGUGCUUCAUGGAGCAAGCAGCAAUUCAUACACAGCUUCCAGUUAAUCAUCCAGAGCUCCUUGAGUUUAUACAGUAACUGUAUUUAAUCUGAUGAACCACCAGGAUGAGCAGCUCAUCGAAUCAACUUACUGUAGUGAAAAUAAUCAGCCCUGAUCCUAAUCAGACACACGAGACUGUGGACGGAAGGGAGCCAUAAGAUCAUAACUUAAAUGAGUUUAUGACUCCAAUCUCAUCACUCUGUCAGAAUCUGUUAGUUCUACAGCCUCAGAACUCGGUUUUCAUCCAAAUCAGGUCCGGUCAGUGUGAAGCCAGAAAACUUCUUAAAAGGAGUUGCUUCACAGGAGACACACCGAGUUUAAUCUGUGGUGUGAAGUAAAACAAUGUCUGAGUGGGGAGGCAGCCCGGGAAACCAGGCCUUAAAAGGAAGAUUGGGAGAGAAGCCACCAGAACUCGGAACCAGAAGCUCCUCCCUGCCCGUCCUCGUUAUUUCUCCAUUGGUUCAACUGCAUUCCCUUCUGGUUUACCUACUGCCAUGCCAAUCUGCUCUGCAUACAGAAUGGAGAGCAGAGUGGAACCAACAAGAACCAAACAGACAACAAAAAACCUUUCAUGCAUCACACUUAUCUGGAGAUCAUCUGCUAAUGCUAACGUGACUUUACAGCAGAAGCUCAAACAGGAAGCUGCAGCAUAUUAACAGAAACACAGUCACCCUAACAUCAUCCAAGCAAACAUUCACACAGGAAGUGAGUUUCUAAGUGGUCUGGUUAUUUGUGUUAUUGUUUGAGUUUGUGCUUCCUAUGUUACUGUCUGCCUCUUUAUUUUGGUGUUUGUAACACUGAGCGUAAAAUGUUUGGACUGCUGUAAAUUACUGCUGUGUCAUGCCUCAAAUGCUUGAUGGUUUCAGAUCAGAACCAUGUGCGCACAUAUAAACAUAGCUCAGAGAGCAUCCCCAGCAAUAAAUCCCACACUGAGGCAUGCAGGGUACAUUUACAAACCUCACACAGCAAGCAAGGAGGAGUUAGAGCUGGAUCAUAAAGAUAAGAGCAGAUUUUCCACUAAGGCUGAAGACAGAGAGAAUACACCAAGCUACAGCUACACUUACACUUCUGCCAUUGCACGCACGCACGCACGCACGCACGCACGCACGCACGCACGCACGCACGCACGCACGCACGCACGCACGCACGCACACACACACACAGAGCUAACAAGGAAUAUGUCCAAGAAACAUGCAGACUGUGUGAACCUUACUGUGAAGUAAGUGACCAGCGGUCACUGUACAUCUGACUAAAACAAACGCUAAGGCCCAAAUUCUACAGCCACACAACAAUGGCUAGAAUACAAUUAAAUAAAAACAGGGACACAAACUAUCAGGUAAUAAGAACCCGGCUAUAAACAACCAACCAAUAAGAACCAGGCCAAAUUGAUCCAAUUUAGCCCAUCCCCUGGGGGAGCAGUGGGAACUAGUAUGAAGUACUUACUUAAGGACACACCUAGGGCCCCGGUGGGCUUGACUCUGGGACCUUUUGCUUCCCAGGUCAAUGCUCUACCAACUGAGCUACCAGGCCACCUACAGAUCAGAUCAUGGAAGCACUAUCAGAAGGUGUGUGGGGGUGGAGUGGGGGGUUGGAAUAAUAAUCUGACAGUGAUGAACACACCAUGUUUCCAGUGAUACACAAAGAUGCUGGAAAUAGAAACACCAAGCCUGAGUGUGUGUCUGUGUGGGAACCAGUGCUUCCAGCCUGCAGCUCCUUAUUGGGACAAAAGCAACCAGGCGGCUUCUGCAUAUUUUGGAAACUCACUCUCUGAGGUUGGCGUCGACUUCUUGGACUUCUUGUCAGCUGGACAGUUUUCUGCCGGAUCUACAGAACACACACACACACACACACACACACACACACACACACACACACACACACACACACACACACACACACACACACACACACAC